GAUGAACGCUGGCGGCGUGCUUAACACAUGCAAGUCGAACGGAAAGGCCCAAGCUUGCUUGGGUACUCGAGUGGCGAACGGGUGAGUAACACGUGGGUGAUCUGCCCUGCACUUCGGGAUAAGCCUGGGAAACUGGGUCUAAUACCGGAUAGGACCACUUCUUGGAUGUUGUGGUGGAAAGUUUUUUCGGUGUGGGAUGAGCUCGCGGCCUAUCAGCUUGUUGGUGGGGUAAUGGCCUACCAAGGCGUCGACGGGUAGCCGGCCUGAGAGGGUGUACGGCCACAUUGGGACUGAGAUACGGCCCAGACUCCUACGGGAGGCAGCAGUGGGGAAUAUUGCACAAUGGGCGCAAGCCUGAUGCAGCGACGCCGCGGGGGGGAUGACGGCCUUCGGGUUGUAAACUCCUUUCGCUAGGGACGAAGCGCUUUGUGACGGUACCUGGAGAAGAAGCACCGGCUAACUACGUG
rnacentral:rRNA from 1 species